CCCUUAGAUGUUCUGGGCUGCACGCGCGCUACACUGAUGCACUCAACGAGUUUACGACCUUGCCCGAUAGGGUUGGGUAAUCUUUUUAAAAUGCAUCGUGAUGGGGAUAGAUUAUUGCAAUUAUUAAUCUUCAACGAGGAAUUCCUAGUAAGCGCGAGUCAUCAGCUCGUGCUGAUUACGUCCCUGCCCUUUGUACACACCGCCCGUCGCUCCAACCGAUUGAGUGCUCAGGUGAAUAAUUCGGACUGCAGCAAUGUUUGGAUCCCGAACGUUGCAGCGGAAAGUUUAGUGAACCUUAUCACUUAGAGGAAGGAGAAGUCGUAACA
rnacentral:rRNA from 1 species